CUUGGCUCGCUUUCCAGGUGGGUCAAGCCAAACGCAGUGAGGGAAAACCUCACCCGCAGUGAGAUCCAAGAGUUUCCAGGAGAGUGAAUUCAGGGUGCUGGAGUGGCUGAAUUCAGGUAUGAUUCAGCUCCUGCAGGCGGUUCUUCACCUGAAGUUCCCCGUGAGGCUUGGGAGAUGAUGGCAGAGAAGGCUUCAGGAUUGCUUCGUGGUGUGUGCUCCUCCUGGGCUUGGAUAUUUAGCAUCUCUUUGGCUGUUAAGCACAAGCGAAAAACUUAAUAGCAAGGCAAGACCCCAAGAGUGCUGACACACAGCAGAGGUUAGCCACUCCUGGCACACAAACGAGGUUGCCUUUUCUUCCUAAUGGAAGUUGACUAUGUUAAAAACAUGUUUUUCUA